GCCAGAAGGCCAGGCCUGCUCAGCUGCUCCCUGAGGUUGAGGGUCUUCCUGGAGCAGAUGGGGGGAGCUGGCCACGCCUAGAGAACACCCGCCUCAGGGGCGCAGUAGAGAAUGAAGCUGACAUUUCCAAGCUGUUAACCUCUCUGGCCUCCGCCGUUCUCAUGAAAUCCUUUUACCAUCUUCAGAAAGAGCUCUCUGAAUACCUCUCCCCACCCAGAGCUUUCCCUGAUGAUUGAAAGCAGCUAAACCAACAAAUGGCAUUAUCUCUUCUGAAUGGACUCAGUUUAUCACCUGGACAAGCCCAGAAAUUUCAGUGCUGAGCUUCUCUUUGUUGUAGCAACAGGUUGGAACCAACGGGGCCAGCAACCACGAGUUCCACAUCGGCCAUCUUUACCCUGAAGAGGAAGCGAAGCACCUUUCCUCGAGAGGUCUGACUCAGAAAGUGCUAGGCCAGCAUCGGCCCACCUUGAAUCGCGUGCCCAAGCUGAGAGCACUGUCCUGUCCUGAGUGAAACCUGCAGACCCUUCUGAGGCGGUAAGGAGAUGGGUCCCCUCCAGGGCGGACCAACAGUUCAACCACAAGGCCGAGGCUGUGGGGCGCUGUGAUCAUCAUUGUGUUUAUUCUUGUGACCCCGAGAGGUGCAUGUGAGGGUGCAGCUAUGCUGGAGAGGCAAAGACCGGAAGGUCAUUUCGUCAGUGUCAGGAAGGUUCUUGGAAGAAGGCAGGUGGGCCAGUCACGCUUCAGCUAUCCUGAGGGCAGCAAAUGAAGAGACACGGAGAGGUCCACAGCUGCCGAAGAUGGGAAGAUGUGGGCUUAAGACUUCUCUGGCCCACAGGGUCGAUAGAGCCUGGGCUAAGACUCAAGGUGUCCUUCUUGGUUCUAAUUUGGGCUGUCUCAACCUAGCUAUGGGACUGAAUAUGCCUCAUUUGACCUCAGUCCUUCAGUCUCCUCAUCUAUAAACGGCAACCCAAAGUUUUACUUUAUUUACCUGACAUAAUUGUCUUAAGAGGCAAGUAGAGUAACAUGCACAUUUUUAAACUAAAAAGAAUGAUUAAAAUAGAAAUGAGCCUAAACUGUAGAGAAAAUUAGGUAAGAUUAAAAACAAAGAAGAAGAGAAGAAACUUUCCUUGUAGGGAGUUUAAAAAAAAAAAAAAAAAACCCAGAUACUGUGCAAACAACCUCAAGAAA